rnacentral:rRNA from 1 species
AACGAACGCUGGCGGCAGGCUUAACACAUGCAAGUCGAACGCACCUUUCGGGGUGAGUGGCCGACGGGUGAGUAACGCGUGGGAAUCUACCCUUCUCUACGGGAUAGCUCCGGGAAACUGGAAUUAAUACCGUAUACGUCCUGAGGGAGAAAGAUUUAUCGGGGAAGGAUGAGCCCGCGUUGGAUUAGCUAGUUGGUGGGGUAAAGGCCUACCAAGGCGACGAUCCAUAGCUGGUCUAAGAGGAUGAUCAGCCACAUUGGGACUGAGACUCGGCCCAAACUCCUACGGGAGGCAGCAGUGGGGAAUAUUGGACAAUGGGCGCAAGCCUGAUCCAGCCAUGCCGCGUGAGUGAUGAAGGCCCUAGGGUUGUAAAGCUCUUUCAGUGGGGACGAUAAUGACGGUACCCACAGAAGAAGCCCCGGCUAACUUCGUG